CCACGGUCCCUCCCCGUCCCUGGGCUCCUCUGCAGUCCCCCUCGGCCUUCUCAACGCAGCUUUCCCAGCAGCUUAGGAUAUCGGUUUUUGUUGGACUUGAAAUUGGGAGUUGAGGGCGGCCUGGAGGCGCUCGGGAAGGAGAUUUGGGGUGCGGCUGCUUAUAAAGAUGUUGCCUUUUACCCCAGCAGUCCCCCGCCCCCUACGCGGGGUGGUGGCAGGAAACCGGUUCCUGAGUUUUCCUUCUUUCUCUUCCUCGACACGACCUCCCCACCAGUGUGUUUCUGUUUAUCCUCCUCGCCCGGGGGCUGGGUCCCUGGCGAAGCCUCGUUUUCACCCACCCACCCCCAAGCCAGAGCUCACCAGUGAUGUAAUGCGGGACCCGCGCGGGGAGGGGAAACGGCAGCCUCAACCGCCUGGCAGCGGCGGUUUCUUCUCUUCGUGAAAAUCGUGAUCUCAUCUCUCCGUCCAUGGGCGAAAAAACAGCCAUCACCAGGCCAUUCACGCUUUGUGCUUUUGUUAGCAGAGCCCAGGCAGCCCUGCAGCCCACAUCUAGGUUUCUCUGCAGAAGACAGCAAGAUGCCCCAGGGAAUGUUUGUGAAAAAGGAUGACUGGAUGGGAAGCAAGCUGAAGAAAAAGAAGGAAAGAAAGAGAGAAAUCAGUAAAUCACCACACAAGAGGUGGAGAAGAGGACUUAUAAAUAUUGUUUCUAUGACAUUUGAAAAUAAAUGUUUUACUCCAUGCUAAUAGUGAAUGUGAUGUCUUCAGUUUGAAGGGCUUUAAGUGAAGCUCAUUAAAAC
rnacentral:lncRNA from 1 species